CAAAAGCUUGGUCCUGACUUUAUUGUCAGCUUUAGCUAUAUUUACACAUGCAAGUCUCCGCCCCCCUGUGAGAAUGCCCGAGCCCCCUUAUGAGGGCUAGGAGCAGGUAUCAGGCUCGCCCCCUCCCCGCCCAUGACGCCUUGCUAAGCCACACCCCCAAGGGAUUUCAGCAGUGAUAAACAUUAAGCCAUGAGUGAAAACUUGACUUAGUUAAAGCCAAGAGAGCCGGUAAAACUCGUGCCAGCCACCGCGGUGAGACGAGAGGCUCAAGUUGACAAGUACGGCACAAAGAGUGGUUAGGAGACUAAAAAGACUAAAGUCAAACGCUUCCUUAGCUGUUAUACGCACCCGAAAGUAUGAAGCCCAACUACGAAAGUAACUUUAAUCCCCCUGAGCCCACGAAAGCUAAGAAACAAACUGGGAUUAGAUACCCCACUAUG
rnacentral:rRNA from 1 species